AUUUGACGAUGUGGGCAUUUUUGCAAAAGGUCCGUAAAAGGCUCCCAUAUCUCAAAAAAUUGCUCACCAUCUAUCUAUGAUAAACUAGUGAUGGCCUUCCUAAGCU